rnacentral:rRNA from 1 species
AGUGAACGCUGGCGGCGUGCUUAACACAUGCAAGUCGAACGGUAACGGGUCCUUCGGGAUGCCGACGAGUGGCGAACGGGUGAGUAAUAUAUCGGAACGUGCCGAGUAGUGGGGGAUAACUGCUCGAAAGAGCAGCUAAUACCGCAUACGACCUGAGGGUGAACGGGGGGGAUCGCAAGACCUCUAGCUAUUGGAGCGGCAGAUAUCAGAUUAGCUAGUUGGUGGGGUAAAGGGCUACACAGGCAACGAUCUGUAGUUGGUCUGAGAGGACGCCCAGCCACACGUGGACUGAGACACGGCCCAGACUCCUACGGGAGGCAGCAGUGGGGAAUUUUGGACAAUGGGCGCGAGCCUGAUCCAGCAAUGCCGCGUGCAGGAAGAAGGCUUUCGGGUUGUAAACUGCUUUUGCAAGGGAAGAAAUCUUCUGGGCUAAUACCCCGGGAGGAUGACGGUACCGGAAGAAUAAGCACCGGCUAACUACGUGCCAUCCGCCGCCGUAA